GAUGAACGCUGGCGGUGUGCCUAAUACAUGCAAGUCGAGCGAACAGACGAGGAGCUUGCUCCUCUGACGUUAGCGGCGGACGGGUGAGUAACGCGUGGAUAACCUACCUAUAAGACUGGGAUAACUUCGGGAAACCGGAGCUAAUACCGGAUAAUAUAUUGAACCGCAUGGUUCAAUAGUGAAAGACGGUUUUGCUGUCACUUAUAGAUGGAUCCGCGCCGCAUUAGCUAGUUGGUAAGGUAACGGCUUACCAAGGCGACGAUGCGUAGCCGACCUGAGAGGGUGAUCGGCCACACUGGAACUGAGACACGGUCCAGACUCCUACGGGAGGCAGCAGUAGGGAAUCUUCCGCAAUGGGCGAAAGCCUGACGGAGCAACGCCGCGUGAGUGAUGAAGGUCUUCGGAUCGUAAAACUCUGUUAUUAGGGAAGAACAAAUGUGUAAGUAACUAUGCACGUCUUGACGGUACCUAAUCAGAAAGCCACGGCUAACUACGUG
rnacentral:rRNA from 1 species